CAAUCUGAAUGAUGAUGAUGAUAAUUUAGGUUAUAGUAUUACCCAGGGGCUGAGUGCAGAGUAGGGUUCCAUUGUCCUAAGCUUAGGAAAAGCAAAAAUAAAAGCAUGUAAUAUCUCAGACUUACGUAGGCUAAAAACAGUGCAAAUGAGCAGAAAUUAGUAGGAGUCCCUGUGUAUACUCAAAUUAUGUCUAAUAAUCAAUCUACUAUAAUCAAAAUAUAACUACUUUUUAACUAUUGUAUAAUUCCUUUGUCAUUUCUUUAGCUAGAGACAUUCAUAUCUCGGGGCUGAAUUAUAGACGAGUGGUAUCUUAUUACAUUUAUUGGCUUUCUCCCAUUAGUACUGCACAGAUGCUUUGCCUCUUGCUGAGUGAGAAACACAUGGACAAAUGUAAUAUAUACAUUUUGAAAAAAAAAAAUAAGAAAAAGAGACUUGGUGUUGGUUUUAAAUGGUUCUGGGAAUGGAGUCCCUUUUUAACUAAAGAGACCAAAACAGAAAUGGUCUGCCCAGAGUAGAAAUUAACCCCCUCACUAACACACCAUUGCUUACUAAAUGUGUUAAUUAAUUAAUGGCCUUAAUUUAAUUCUCCACAUGUGUUGAACUGAGUUGAUGAGUGUUACUAUACUUUCAAUUAGAUGGGUUUUGCAACAUCAUUUUCAUCAUAGUGGUUAGUAUAAAUGAGUUUUCUUAAUUAUGGAGGGUAAAUGCUCUGUGUGACUGUUUGGCACACUCUGGCAGAUAUCCUUUGUUUGCAGGGACACUGGUGUCCAGUUCACUUCCAAUAAGCUCUUUCUGCUGAUGUUUUCUGACUUUCUAGAUAUGAUAUUGAAAACCUAUGACAGGUAGAAGAUAUAACUGAAAUUCUCCAUACUAUUAUUUACUGAAACAUUAUAGCUCUUACUUAUUAUUGAGUUUAGUGUUCUUGCAUUAUGUGCCUUCUUGCAGUGCUUGUCAAGAAAACUAAGGUAUAUAGCAAUUAUCUUCUCUGCCAUCCUUCCACAGUGUCUCAGGGACAGCAGUGUCAUUCUUAAAUUGUGAUAAGAUCUUAUUAGUAAGACAGACAUUAGAAGUUUGCUUUUUUAAACAUUAGGCAACAUUUCACACAAUGUCAAAAUUGAGAAUUUGCAGAAAGUCUUUACACUCUGGGAAUCCUUUCUUAGACUUCCCACGUCGCUUAGGAAGUCAAUGUCUUUCCCAGCUUCUCUUUCCUUCUAGGAUGUGACUGUGGGAAAGGAGGGAAAAUUCACUUGCACGUUGGUAGAGACAGUCCAGGCAGCUGUGUGUGAUGGCUGAGUCUGGGGUAAAAAUGAGCAUCUGAGGAUAAAUUAAGAUGAUAGAGAAGGCAAAAAGUAUUGAUCUUCACAUUUAAUCUUCCUCACCUCCUUAGCAUUUUUAUGUCCUGUGUCUGCCCUGGAGCUUAUGCUCUUUUUCACAAAUAUAACACAAGUAAAGAUGGGGAAAGUGCUGAAGACACUGGACAAGAAUAUUUUACAUUGCUAAAGGAGUAAUUAGUGUAGGUGCAGUGCUGGACCCACAUCACCCCUGUGUGUUCAUGCUGCAUUUCCAUCCAGUUUCGUUUAUUUUUCUGAAGUGCUCAUAUCAGAGAGUAGGAAUUUACUUAUCCUCCUGGCCACAUUUUGUUUUGUUUAGCUUUGGACUCUGUGUCAGCAGCCUUUCUGCAGCUUCCCAGCACUGCGGAUGUACAUGAGGGACAAAGACUGGAUCUGGAAACAAACUGUUUGGUGCAAACUGAUUUCCAGAGGCCAAGUUAGCAC
rnacentral:lncRNA from 1 species